GACGAACGCUGGCGGCGUGCCUAACACAUGCAAGUCGAACGGAACUUACCGAAUGAAGCUUUCGGGUGGAUUUUGAUAAGUUUAGUGGCGGACGGGUGAGUAACGCGUGAGUAACCUGCCUUCAAGAGGGGAAUAACGUUUGGAAACGAACGCUAAUACCGCAUAACGUGAGAAGAGGGCAUCCUCUUUUUACCAAAGAUUUAUCGCUGAGAGAUGGGCUCGCGGCCGAUUAGGUAGUUGGUGAGAUAACAGCCCACCAAGCCGACGAUCGGUAGCCGGACUGAGAGGUUGAUCGGCCACAUUGGGACUGAGACACGGCCCAG
rnacentral:rRNA from 1 species